rnacentral:lncRNA from 1 species
AUCAAAUCUCUCCUACCCUAACCCUCAAAGCUUCUAUUUGUGCAUUCAAGCUGUGUCUACUUCUGCUCUACAUCUUCUAUUUUAGGUGGCCAGCCAAAAUUGAAGUAUGACGCCAUGUUUGAGCAUGUGGAUUUUAAAAGAAGAGCAAAACAUUCACUACUGGAGAUGUUUUUAAGAAUUGUAUCCUUAAAAUGGAGGAAAGGCAGAGAGUCAAGAGACAUGUUUUUUCUCUAGACUCUGAGACUUCAAUCGGCAAUAAUCUUCAUUCUUCACCAAAAGAAUUAUCUCUAUACCCUAUACGACGAUUCAUAUUUCCCAUUAAUCUCUUGCCGAAAAUCUGAAGUACUCAUUCAUUUUUUCGUCAAUCUUUUUUCGAGACUUGAAUUAAAUUUGCUAGGUUUUAAAAGUGGCCAAGCAGGCUAUCGACCUGAACGUGGGGAUUGAGGAAGCACAGGUAAAUUUUUCGCCGAAGAAGUUAAAGGCAAAAUCAUAUUCUGUUGUCCGUUGAGGUAAUUUUGGCUUCAUCUCUUUCCUGUAUAGCAGUUUUUAGAACUUGAAUAAUUGAUUUAAUUGCUUCACGACUCACAUAUUCCUUAUUGGAUCCUGUAAAUGGCAAGAUUUGUUUAUUCUGUUUAUUUAUCUGAUUUUUUCUUAUUAAUUAAUUGCUUUAGAUGGAGAUUGCUAUUCCAUAGGCACUAUGCAAAAAAGUACAGAAUAAUGUAGUGAUCAAUGAUCAUAUAUAAUAUUCUUUGCACCUAAAUACUUAUUUAUCAUUUACAGGAUCCAAUAAUUUUAUUAUAAUGUACAUUUUAAAUCUCAGAGUUAGCCGAAGAUCUUAAGUUUUUAUACUCAUUGGGUUUGGCUUAUUCUAUAGGACUUGAUCUAUUGUUUUCUUUUCAAUAUCAAUUUAAUCUCAAUUCUCUAGUGACUAAUAUCUAUAUGAAGCCAUAAUUUUACCCAAAUCCUUUAUCGCUUAUCAAAAACUGCAAUCAUAUAGUUAGCAUCUUCCACUAAAAUGAAUUCAAAUGGAUAUAGAGUUGUCCUUGGGAAGCUUAAUUUUCUUAAUUUAUUUAUAGUAAAAUAAAGUUACAUUGACAUGUAUGCAUAAAAAUAUUUAUCUUGUUGUUAUAAAGCUAUUUGUUCAUACGAAUGUAACUAUUUGUAAAUAUCCUCCAGAGGAUGACGUUUGUUUUGCAUAAUUAGUUAAUCAAUUAAUUAACAAGUCAAUUGUUUUUCCUUUCUGAUAUGGUCUAUUGACUAUGGCAGGUCGUGAGAGAACUAUACGAGAUUGUUCCAACUCGCAAAUGGAGAGACGGAGAAAACAGAAUCAACAAAAUAGAUUUUAUAGGUAUGCAUUCGUAACGGCUUAUGCAAUUUCCAAAUUUUAAAUGAAUGCCAAACUUUAGAUAGGUGUUUCUUGUGUGCAGGUGGAUUGUUAAUGAAGAGCUAUCAACCUGGUCAUAUGAUAAAAAAGGAAAGAGUAAACUAUUAUAUUGGUUGUAAUCUUAUUUUUUUCCCUCUUUACUGGGUUUAAGCAAUCAUGGAUAAAAUUAAAAAAAAAAUGAAAGAUUAAACUAUUACAUUGGUUGUUCUUAUUUACUUUCCCCCAAAAUCGACAACAUUUUUCUUAUAAAAUUGUGCUAUUAGUUUAUCUCGAUUUACAUUUGAUCUGGUCUUUGUUUUAUUUUUUUUGAUUUUCUUGGUUGUGAAAGUGCUUGUUAUGAUAUGCUGAUCUCUUAUUGCUUGCCUGUGGAUUUUGUUUGUGUAUAGCAUAACAUUAUGACAAGGAAGAUGCUUUUUAUGGAAAGCUAGGCAUUGCUAGUGAGUAGGAGAUUCACAAGGACUUUGAUUUGUUUGUGAUUGGAGCUGGCAGUGGUGAAGUUCGUUCCUCAUAAUUUCCUAGUCUAUAGCUCAUUUUUCGUUUAGUUUAUGCACCAUUUGUACUAAAAGUCUAGGAUACAUUUGUAACUAAGAUAUUAAGGUGCAUGACACAUUUUGUGGUUAAAUAUAGGAUAUUUAAAUUUAUGUAAUGACUAUUAAUAAUUAUUUUAUGGGCAAUUACAAUUACCUUUCGUACUCGGUAUUGUAUAUUGUGAAUUUGUUUA